rnacentral:tRNA from 1 species
AUCCCCGUGUGCCACAGCGCACAGGCUGGUAUACCUUCUAAGCAGUGGGUCGUGUGUUCGAAUCACACCGGGGGUACCA